UGGUUCUGGCAUCGAUGAAGAACGCAGCGAAAUGCGAUAAGUAAUGCGAAUUGCAGAAUUUCCGUGAGUCAUCGAAUCUUUGAACGCACAUUGCGCCCUUUGGCAUUCCGAAGGGCAUGCCUGUUCGAGCGUCAUUAUCCUCUCUCAAACCCCGUGUUUGGUGUUGGAUCGAGUUGGACCGCCUCAUGGCCAACUGGUCUCAAAGACAAUGACGGCGUCCCAGGGACCCUCUUCGCACUGAGCUUUCCGGAGCACGCGUCGAGUUUCAAGGACCCCAGGACCCGGUCGUCUCUAUUAUUUUUUCUAGGUUGACCUCGGAUCAGGUAGGAAUACCCGCUGA
rnacentral:misc_RNA from 1 species